AGAAAAAUUAUGCAUGCAGAACACUAGAUGCCUGUACUAUCACUUACAUGGAACUGAAGAGCUGAAAUUUCAUACAGCUCUGAUAUUCGUGCCAGAGGAGUUUCAACUUAACUUACAUUCACAAAUUGGAGAAAACGCAUAGCAAGAUAAAAGAAAAAUGGUACCUGCAGAAGAUGUUUCCUAUACAACUGAAGGGAUGCACCUCAGCGGUUGAAAUUGAAUUCAGGAACUCCCAGUUAGCGUUUUGUGUCAGAGAACUUUCAAGGGAAGUUGGAUAUGCCGUGACUUGGAUGACAACGCUCGACGACGGUCCGGAGCGGUCCAUCUCGCAGUGACCCUCAAGUGCAACCGCAGAGGCUCGCAUCUCCUCCUGCCUUCAGAACAUAUCCAUCUGGAUGUCUGCUCGCCACCUAAAACUCAACAUGUC